UACCGAGUCAGUUACUAAAAUAAUGUAUGGGUUUAUACAAACGGGGAUUCCUAAAAAAUAAUAUUGUUUGCAGAAAGCCUCGCCCCGGUGCAGAAGCUCGUGUAUUUAUGUUAUAUGGUGACCGAUCACGCCCAUUACGUCAUCAAUAUGUCUGAUCAAUCAGAAUCAACUAAAACAAACCCUGUUAUAUACAGUUUUCACGGCACAAGUAACGUACAGUUGGGUAAUCAUAACAUCGUCGAUAACCGCCUUACUAAUCAACUAACAGAAGACGUGGACGCCAUGAAAUAUGAACUCGCUAUUAGGGACGAUAAAAUAGAGACAUUAACGCGUGGAAUGAACCAACUGACAGAGAGAGUGAGGAUUCUAGAAGAUGAAAAGGUGGUCAAGAAAACAAACGUUAAUAAAAAUUCAGACAAGACAGACGAAAUGAUUACUCUCAAUAUAUAUCGUGGGUAUGAUAAGAUGACUAUAAGUAGAGAUCAAACAGUGGAUGAAUUAGAGAAGAUGAUACUGGAGGAGAACAGAAAGAAGUAUGGUGUAGGGUAUCAUGGUUUUAUUGGUUCUAUCUACAGUGAUGAUGAUAAACAGGUCAAGUACCGCUACAAACACCACAACAAACAUCUUCCAUUAUCACACUAUAAUAUAACAGAUAGAGAUAGGGUCUACUGGUUGUUAUAGUCUGUUGAUGGUGUAUAAAAUAUUAAAUCAUAUAUACUAACUAUAAAACAAUAUUAAACAUUUAACUUGAACAAUGAAUUCUAUCUAUAUAUACUAACUAUUAAACAAUAUUAAACAUUUAACUUGAACAUUGAAUUCUAUCUAUAUAUAUACUAACUAUAAAACAAUAUUAAACAUUUAACUAGAACAUAUUAUACUGUAUAAAGUAAUGAUAUAG